rnacentral:rRNA from 1 species
CUCGAAGCAUAAGCCUGCAUGUCUAAUUAUAAACUGCUUAUACUGUGAAACUGCGAAUGGCUCAUUAAAUCAGUUAUAGUUUAUUUGGUGGUACCUUACUACUCGGAUAACCGUAGUAAUUCUAGAGCUAAUACGUGCGUAAAUCCCGACUUCUGGAAGGGACGUAUAUAUUAGAUAAAAGGCCGACCGAGCCUUGCUCGACCCGCGGUGAAUCAUGAUAUCUUCACGAAGCGCAUGGCCCUUGUGCCGGCGCUGUUUCAUUCAAAUUUCUGCCCUAUCAACUUUUCAUGGGUAGGGAAAAAAGGCCUACCCUGGGUGGGAAACGGGGUGACGGAGGAUUAAGGGUUCCAUUCCCGGAAAGGGACCCUGAAAACCGGCUCC